GCCGCGAUAGCUUAGUUGGUCUGAGCGCUCGUUUGAAAAAUGAGAGGUAGUCGUUCGAUCCGACUUCGCGGCA
rnacentral:tRNA from 1 species